rnacentral:rRNA from 1 species
AUUGAACGCUGGCGGCAGGCCUAACACAUGCAAGUCGAACGGUAACAGGAAGAAGCUUGCUUCUUUGCUGACGGGUGGCGGACGGGUGAGUAAUGUCUGGGAAACUGCCUGAUGGAGGGGGAUAACUACUGGAAACGGUAGCUAAUACCGCAUAACGUCGCAAGACCAAAGAGGGGGACCUUCGGGCCUCUUGCCAUCGGAUGUGCCCAGAUGGGAUUAGCUAGUAGGUGGGGUAACGGCUCACCUAGGCGACGAUCCCUAGCUGGUCUGAGAGGAUGACCAGCCACACUGGAACUGAGACACGGUCCAGACUCCUACGGGAGGCAGCAGUGGGGAAUAUUGCACAAUGGGCGCAAGCCUGAUGCAGCCAUGCCGCGUGUAUGAAGAAGGCCUUCGGGUUGUAAAGUACUUUCAGCGGGGAGGAAGGGAGUAAAGUUAAUACCUUUACUCAUUGACGUUACCCGCAGAAGAAGCACCGGCUAACUCCAUG